UACGUAGGGCGCAAGCGUUGUCCGGAAUUAUUGGGCGUAAAGAGCUCGUAGGCGGUCUGUUACGUCUGCUGUGAAAACCCAGGGCUUAACCCUGGGCUUGCAGUGGAUACGGGCAGACUAGAGUGCGGUAGGGGAGACUGGAAUUCCUGGUGUAGCGGUGAAAUGCGCAGAUAUCAGGAGGAACACCGGUGGCGAAGGCGGGUCUCUGGGCCGUAACUGACGCUGAGGAGCGAAAGCAUGGGGAGCGAACAGG
rnacentral:rRNA from 1 species